CCUACGGGUGGCAGCAGUGAGGAAUAUUGGUCAAUGGUCGGGAGACUGAACCAGCCAAGCCGCGUGAGGGAAGAAGGUACAGCGUAUCGUAAACCUCUUUUGUCAGGGAACAAAGGCGGGGACUAGUCCCCGGAUGAGUGUACCUGAAGAAAAAACAUCGGCUAACUCCGUGCCAGCAGCCGCGGUAAUACGGGGGAUGCGAGGGUUAUCCGGAUUUAUUGGGUGUAAAGGGUGCGCAGGCGGCCUGUUAAGUCAGCGGUAAAAGCCCGGGGCUCAACCCCGGCCAGCCGUUGAAACUGGCAGGCUCGAGUUGGAGAGAAGUACGCGGAAUGCGCGGUGUAGCGGUGAAAUGCUUAGAUAUCGCGCAGAACCCCGAUUGCGAAGGCAGCAUGCCGGCUCCACACUGACGCUGAGGCACGAAAGCGUGGGUAUCGAACAGGAUUAGAUACCCUGGUAGUC
rnacentral:rRNA from 1 species